AGUGAACGCUGGCGGUAGGCCUAACACAUGCAAGUCGAACGGCAGCACAGUAAGAGCUUGCUCUUACGGGUGGCGAGUGGCGGACGGGUGAGGAAUACAUCGGAAUCUACUUUUUCGUGGGGGAUAACGUAGGGAAACUUACACUAAUACCGCAUACGACCUACGGGUGAAAGCAGGGGAUCUUCGGACCUUGCGCGAUUGAAUGAGCCGAUGUCGGAUUAGCUAGUUGGCGGGGUAAAGGCCCACCAAGGCGACGAUCCGUAGCUGGUCUGAGAGGAUGAUCAGCCACACUGGAACUGAGACACGGUCCAGACUCCUACGGGAGGCAGCAGUGGGGAAUAUUGGACAAUGGGCGCAAGCCUGAUCCAGCCAUACCGCGUGGGUGAAGAAGGCCUUCGGGUUGUAAAGCCCUUUUGUUGGGAAAGAAAAGCAGCAGGUUAAUACCCCGCUGUUCUGACGGUACCCAAAGAAUAAGCACCGGCUAAUUUCGUG
rnacentral:rRNA from 1 species